rnacentral:rRNA from 1 species
AACGCGAAGAACCUUACCUGGUCUUGACAUCCCGCUGACCGGCUCGUAAUGGAGCCUUCCCUUCGGGGCAGUGGAGACAGGUGGUGCAUGGUUGUCGUCAGCUCGUGUCGUGAGAUGUUGGGUUAAGUCCCGCAACGAGCGCAACCCCUAUCUUUAGUAGCCAGCAGUUCGGCUGGGCACUCUAGAGAGACUGCCAGGGAUAACCUGGAGGAAGGUGGGGAUGACGUCAAAUCAUCAUGCCCCUUAUGACCAGGGCUACACACGUGCUACAAUGGCGUAAACAAAGGGAGGCGACCCCGCGAGGGCAAGCAAAUCCCAAAAAUAACGUCUCAGUUCGGAUUGUAGUCUGCAACUCGACUACAUGAAGCUGGAAUCGCUAGUAAUCGCGAAUCAGAAUGUCGCGGUGAAUACGUUCCCGGGUCUUGUACACACCG